rnacentral:rRNA from 1 species
UACGAACUGUGCGAACGUUAUUCGGAAUCACUGGGCUUACAGGGUGCGUAGGCGGCUAUUCAGGUCAGGUGUGAAAGCCCUCGGCUCAACCGAGGAACUGCGCUUGAAACCGGAUGGCUCGAGUCAGCUAGAGGUGCACGGAACUUCCAGUGGAGCGGUGAAAUGUGUUGAUAUUGGAAGGAACACCGGAGGCGAAAGCGGUGCACUGGGGCUGGUCUGACGCUGAGGCACGAAAGCCAGGGGAGCAAACAGG